UCACACCUUUGUAGAGCUUCCAAAAGUUAAAUUUGUCCAAGAUUAAAGUUUGAUGAAGCAUGUGACACAUUUACAUCUUGUUGUUUACACUGUACAAAGCAUCCAUUAAAGCAGAAAUCGAAAGAGCAAAAACAAAAGAAAAUAAAAAUAAACAAGUG